rnacentral:rRNA from 1 species
GGAAUAUUGCGCAAUGGAGGAAACUCUGACGCAGCGACGCCGCGUGAGCGAUGAAGGCUUUCGGGUCGUAAAGCUCUGUCGAAAGGGAAGAAAAACAGUCCUGUGAAUAACUGGAUUGCUUGACGGUACCUUUAAAGGAAGCACGGGCUAACUACGUGCCAGCAGCCGCGGUAAUACGUAGGGUGCUAGCGUUGUUCGGAAUCAUUGGGCGUAAAGCGCGUGUAGGUGGCUAUGCAAGUUGGAUGUGAAAUCCCUCGGCUCAACCGAGGAAGUGCAUCCAAAACUACAUGACUAGAGGACGGUAGAGGAAGGUGGAAUUCCUAGUGUAGAGGUGAAAUUCGUAGAUAUUAGGAGGAAUACCGGUGGCGAAGGCGGCCUUCUGGGCCGUUCCUGACACUGAGACGCGAAAGCGUGGGGAGCAAAC